rnacentral:lncRNA from 1 species
UAUUGAUGCAGAUAUCGGGCAGUCCAUUACCCGUUACUUGUGUUUUCACCCUAUUAAUGAAUUUGAGCCUUUCUUUGAGAGUUUGGGUCUAAAACCUCAUGAUUAUAAUCCUCUUCUUCCACGUGAUCUGAUGUUUUUAUGUGACGAUGAUUUACUUUUAGAGAAUUAUCAUGUUUUGUGUAAUUAUGGGAUUGCAAGAGGUAAGAUAGGAAAGAUUUAUAAGGAAGCCGCGGGAGUUUUCGGGUAUGGUUAUGGGGUCUUGGUGCUGAAACUAAAAGCUUAUGAGGAAUUGGGGCUUGGCCAGUCUUUUAUGAUUAAGUUGGUUGUCUGUAGCCCUUAUAUUUUGAUUGGAGAGGUGAAUGCAGACUUUAUCAAGGUAUUAGAGAUAUUGAGAAAAGAGGGAGUUGAUAUCAGUAGGAUUGAGGAGCAUUUGUCUGAGAAGAGUUCUUAUGACUGGAGCAAGUUGCUUGCACUGCUCAACUUAUUUAGGCAUGCAGGUUACAAUGAGGAGCAGCUAGGUGGACUCAUAAGCCAGCAUCUGGAAAUUUUCUUUGAGGAUUCCGUGGAUAGGAUAUAUUUGCUAAUUGGUUUCCUCCUCAAAUUUGGAUCCACGAUGAAUCAGAUAUGUUCUAUGUUUUUGCAGUUUCCACAAAUGGAAUUUGAGGAAUUCUUUUCAAAUCUAAGGCAUUGCUUUCUGUUCUUGAAUGAGAUCCAGAUGGAGGCACAUGAGAUUCGGAAUAUUUUGCGUUCUCACCCACUAAUGCUUGGUUCAUGUAGACUGAAGAAACCCAACACAUUGCGUUUAGCCUUACAUGCUGCAGAUAAGAGAAUGUGUGAAGUCAUCCAAGAGAACCCACAGGUUUUGAAGAAAUGGGUGAUGGGAUCAAAAGUUGAAAGAUUGCAAAACUUGAUACUAAAAUCACGGAUGCAGAAGACCAAGUUCUUGUUGGACUUGGGAAUUGUAGAUGACUCAAAUGAAAUAGGAAAAGCACUUAAGGUUUUCCGGGGCAGUGGAGCAAAGAUCCAAGAGAGGUUUGAUUGUAUUGUGGAAGCUGGUUUGAGCAGAAAAGAUGUUUGUGAAAUGAUAAAAGCAUCUCCUCAAAUUCUUAACCAAACGAAAGAUGUUCUUGAAAUGAAGAUUGAUUUUCUUGUAAAUAAUGUGGGUUAUCCAGUAUCAUAUUUGGUCACUUUCCCAUCGUAUCUUAAUUACACAAUGGAAAGAGUGGAGCUUAGGUUAGCAAUGUAUAAUUGGCUCAAAGAUCAAGGAAAAUCUGAGCCCAUGCUUUCCUUGAGCACUGUAAUUUCUCUCUCAGAUAAAAAGUUCAUUAAUGAGUAUGUAAAUAGUCAUCCUAGAGGCCCUGAAAUUUGGCAGAAUUUGAAGAAAGAAAUUUAUGCUGAAUAAAAAGCCACUAGCUGGACCUAUCUUGCACUUCGUUUGUUCUGUCCAUUGACAGGGAAGUUGCGAAGAUCUUUGAUUUUGUAACUUCUAUCUUUGAUUUUGUUACUUCUACUGGCAGAAAAAUUUCUGUCCAUCUUUGAUUGAGGUAUCGGACUGAUCAACAACAAGGGGAAUUAAGCUUGCAUAGAUUAAAAAAAAGGAAAAAAAAAAUUAGGUUAUGUUAUGCUCUUUCAUAGUAAUAUUUGUUAGUCUAAAUGUCUUUAAACACCUAUAGUUUAUUUAUUUUGAUGAUAACAAGUAGCGGAUUUAAUAUGCAUGUUAAAAGUUUUAAUGUUGUCAGAUAUUUUUUUUCACAUCAAUUUAAUGUAAUUUAGACUCCUUGUAUGCAAAUAUGAUUUGAUGUUUAAGCUCAAAUUAAUAUAAUCAAGUCUUUGUAGAAUUUAAUUUGGCAUUGCAAAAAUAAAUUUUACUCUAAAUUAUUUUCAAUUGCUGAAUUUUACCAUCCAAAAUAUUUUUAUUGCCUAAACUUAUAUAUAGUGAAAAUAUAGUGUGAAAAAUUAUUUAAUCAAAUUUUUUUUUAUUAUCAAUCAAUUCAUUAUAAAUGAAAAGCUUCCAUUCUUCUUUUCCAUAAUUCCUCUUUUCAUUCUCCUAAAGGAUUUAAACCCUAAAUCGCAUUCAGUCCCUUUUUCAUAUUCUUGACUUGUGCUUAAUUUUUUGUAAUCUUUUUUAGUAAAAUAUGAUAAUUCUUGCGAAAGCUUUAUCUAUUGUGAAAAUAUAAGUAAUACUUGAACUAUUUGAGUAAUAUUUGAUCGUGGUUUAAAUCUUGAUCCUUGAAAAGAUUAUGAUUGUAAAGUUUUCUAACCUUGAUCCUAGAAAAAUAUUAGUGUAAUCGAUAAGGUUUGAAUCGCUGAAAAAACUAUUAAUUGAUAGCAAAUACUUAAAUAGAGAUUUAUAUAGUAAAAUAGAUGGUUGUUCGAAUUACUAUAAAACUUGGUGUGUCUUUCGCUGAUUAUCUAUUUUAUUAUAUUUGUAUCUUGAUCAAAAUUAAGGUGUUAGUUUUUUUAAACUAUAACAAGUAUGAGAAUCACUUCCUCUUGAGUUAUUUUAGACUUUCAAUGUCAAUAGUAAACGUUAGCCAAAAAAAAAAAAAAAGAUAUGAUUUCCUCUUUCUUUUGAAGCUAUAGAUUUUUGUCUUUAGAAUUGAAACUAAAAAAGUAAAAGGACCUUCACCAAAUUUGUUUUGUGUUUUGUUUAUAAACCUGGUAAUGAUUAAAAAAUCAGAUUUGUCUUGUACCAUUGCACUUGCGAAGGUCAGCAGGUAUAAUGUCUGAGUUUCGCGGAUUGUAUUUUUUAAAGUAAUUUUUAUAUUAAAAUAAUAUUUUUUAUUUUUAAAAAUUAUUUUUGAUAUUAAUAUAUAAAAUAAUAAAAAAUAUAUAUAUAUAAAAUAAUUUUUAAUAAAAAAUUAAAUUUUAAAAAAUACGCCAAAUGAUUAGAACUCUUUAGCUGAAACUAAAAAUGUUAUUGCAAGUAAAGAAUCAGGAGCCACUCUGUGUGGUCCGCAAUGAUUGCUUGCAGGGGCAGGAGAGCUCGCUGAUGGGGGCCUCAAAGAUGUUGUCGAGAAUGUAGGACACCAUUGGUAGAAACAUAUAUUAGCAAUUAGUUGAUGAUACGAAGCUAGACUUGCAAGAACUUCAUGUGUUGCGGUAUAAUUAGAGUUUUAAAAGUAUUUUUUUAAAAAAAUUAUUUUUAUUAUUUUUUAAUUUAAAAUUAUUAUUUUUUAAUAUUUUCAGAUAUUAAUGUAUUAAUAUCAAAAAUUAUUUUUAAAAAAAUUAUUUUAAUAUAUUUCUGAAUAAAAAAUAAUUUAAAAAGGAAUUAUUACUAUAUUCAUAGACAUCCCUUUAAUUUCUUAUAAAUAAUUAUACCAUUUAUGGGUGAUUUUUUUUGGUGAAAACAAAAUUUUAUUUAUACAUGUUUUGGGCAAAAACAAAACCACAACUGUCACAAUUCAAUUCACAUGAACAAAAUCUUUUUAAGAAUUAUAGCGUCGCCAACAUUACACAAUGAAGUGCAUUUAAUUGCCAUUAAAAUGUAAGUCUCGAAAUAAUCCCACAAACAUGUCCAUAUAUAAAGGCAACAAUUGACUUACAUAUUACAACUCAUUCAACGCCACUCGAAUAACAUGAAUAUUUAUAAUGCAAUAGCAAAAAUCAUUCAACACAUAUCGCAAAUUACUCCAAGCAAUCAAAUACACAUUCAUAGAUCAAAACCCAACAUUUAUAAUAAAUAAUUCUAAGAACAUAUAAAUCACAUAUUCGAGGUUUAAAAUUGACCUUUACAAGUUGCUAUAGUCAACUGAAACUAGACAAAACAUCUUCACUGAAGAUGAGAGAUCGAUGGCUUGGAAAGUCUUGAUUAUUUUGCUAAAGAUUUUCUAGGCUGCUUCUUUUGUGUUGUUGAUAUUGCUGGUCUAGUGACUGGUUGUGGGGAAGAGGAGGACAAUGGAUGGUCAACUCUGAAUGACAUUUUUUUAAUAUGAGAAAUUUGACUCAUUAAUUUUCGUUUUAUUGUUUUAGAUGUUGUAUCUUUGAGUGUUGCAUCGACAACAUUUGCAUUACUUGUAUAACCAUUGCAAAAGCAUCCUCUGUUUUUAAAGAAGAAAUGUGCUCAACAGUUUUAUUUUAAUUUUGAGUUUCUAUUAAAAAAAAAGUAUUUAAUGCAUAUGAAGAAGACUUUUCAAGAUUUUUCACAUCAAACUCUUAUGCUUAUGUUCAUCUACUCUUCUCUACCAUGGUAAAUGUGUCAAUUCUUUUUUCAAUAUAAUAGUUUUUUUUUCUAAACUUUCUAAUAAUAACCGAUUGAUUUCAUGAGUGUUUGAUAUUAAAAAAAAAAAAGAGAUACAUCAUCACGCAUGAGUCGGAUGGCAUCCAUCGAGCGAGAGUUACAAAGUACUUUCCUCUCUGUUUCUGUUUUUUGGGCCUUUUAAGAUUAGAAGUCUUAAAGUCAUGGAGUAAAGUGUAAUAGCUAGAAAGUUUGAGGAUGCCACUAUAGCUUAGUUUUGUGCUAUUGAGGCAAAAAUAGCCUCUCUCCGAUCCCUAUUUAGCUUUCGUCCUUCAGAAACCCGUGAGGAGUGAGGACUUGCCGCUCAGCAGCCCCUUCCAAGUUCCAUGCUUUGCUCCACUGAACCAGAUGGAAAGGGAGGAAAUCCUGCCCCUUAUAUCUCAAAAUCUCUCGUAGAAAUCACUAAACUCACCAAGCCUACCACACUAACAAGGUAAGAAACUCUCCAAGAAACUCGCUUUUAUACAUUUCUAGUGAACUUAUCGUACCUUAGCCUUUCUUUUUGUUUGUUAACUCUCUAGCUAUCACCGCUCUUCAUUUCUCAUCAAAAUAACCAUGAACCAUUUUGGAAAAUUUAAGAUUUUCAAUUGGGUUUCUUCCAAUUUUGUUGGUAGCCACAAAACCUGGUUGUCCUCUAUGAUGUCAUUAUUCAGCAUUGCAGAAAGCCCUAUGUUCUAUAGGACCAAGAGGAUAGUUCAAACUGAAAAUGGACAAAGCAUAAACCCAGUUUCUAGGACAGCAGCCCAAACUGCGUUAUUAGAGUAUCUGUACGUCACUAGAAACAUACAGUUUACGGAUGCAGAUAAUAUGAGUAAAAAUUCACCUCAUUUUCUUGAAAAGUUAUUAGCAAAAGUUGAUAUUGAUGCAGAUAUCGGGCAUUCCAUUACCCGUUUCUUGUGUUUUCACCCUAUUAAUGAAUUUGAGCCUUUCUUUGAGAGUUUGGGUCUAAAACCUCAUGAUUAUAAUCCUCUUCUUCCACGUGAUCUGAUGUUUUUAUGUGACGAUGAUUUACUUUUAGAGAAUUAUCAUGUUUUGUGUAAUUAUGGGAUUGCAAGAAGUAAGAUAGGAAAGAUUUAUAAGGAAGCCGCGGGAGUUUUCGGUUAUGAUUAUGGGGUCUUGUUGCUGAAACUAAAAGCUUAUGAGGAAUUGGGGCUUGGCCAGUCUUUUAUGAUGAAGUUGGUUGUCUGUAGCCCUUAUCUUUUGAUUGGAGAGGUGAAUGCAGACUUUAUCAAGGUAUUAGAGAUAUUGAGAAAAGAGGGAGUUGAUAUCAGUCGGAUUGAGGAGCAUUUGUCUGAGAAGAGUUCGUAUGACUGGAGCAAGUUGCUUGCACUGCUCAACUUAUUUAGGCAUGCAGGUUACAAUGAGAAGCAGCUAGGUGGACUCAUAAGCCAGCAUCUGGCAAUUUUCUUUGAGGAUUCCGUGGAUAGGAUAUAUUUGCUAAUUGGUUUCCUCCUCAAAUUUGGAUCCACGAUGAAUCAGAUAUGUUCUAUGUUUUUGCGGUUUCCGCGAAUGGAAUUUGAGGAAUUCUUUUCAAAUUUAAGGCAUUGCUUUCUGUUCUUGAAUGAGAUCCAGAUGGAGGCACAUGAGAUUCGGAAUAUUUUCUGUUCUCACCCACUAAUGCUUGGUUCAUGUAGACUGAAGAAACCCAACACAUUGCGUUUAGCCUUACAUGCUGCAGAAAAGAGAAUGUGUGAAGUCGUCCAAGAGAGCCCACAAGUUUUGAAGAAAUGGGUGAUGGGAUCAAAAGUUGAACGAUUGCCAAACUUGAGACUUAAAUCACGGAAGCUGAAGACCAAGUUCUUGCUGGACUUGGGAAUUGUAGAUAACUCAAAUAAAAUAGGAAAAGCACUCAAGGUUUUCCGGGGCAGUGGAGAAAAGUUCCAAGAGAGGUUUGAUUGUAUUGUGGAAGCUGGUUUGAGCAGAAAAGAUGUUUGUGAAAUGAUAAAAGCAUCUCCUCAAAUUCUUGGCCAAUCGAAAGAUGUUCUUGAAAUGAAGAUUGAUUUUCUUGUAAAUAAGGUGGGUUAUCCAGUAUCAUAUUUGGUCACUUUCCCAUCCUAUCUUAAUUUCACAACGCAAAGAGUGGAGCUUAGGUUAGCAAUGUAUAAUUGGCUCAAAGAUCAAGGAAAACCUGUCCCCGUGCUUUCCUCGAGAAGUUUAAUUUCUCUCUCAGACAAAAAGUUCAUUAAUGAGUAUGUAAAUAGUCAUCCUAGAGGCUCUGAAAUUUGGCAGAAUUUGAAGAAAGAAAUUUAUGCUGAAUAAAAAGCCUAUAAAAAGUUCAUUUAUACUUUCCUUGAUGAGUUUUUCUUGUUAAUUUUCACUUCUUCUGUCACUCUUUUCAUAAGAACAGAAUGUCUCAAGUGAUUUUAGGCGAGGAUUGUUGAAUUUUAAUUCAUCCCUGUACCUUAGCAUUGUACUAGAUCUGUUGCCCGCGCUUCACAACAGGACUUGAUCUGAGUUGUUUAGUGGUUGGUGCUUGGAUAGAAAAGA